rnacentral:misc_RNA from 1 species
UUUCCGUAGGUGAACCUGCGGAAGGAUCAUUAAAAAAUGUGGUACCAUUUGUUGGUACUAAUUAAUCAUCCUACCCUUUGUGAAUUUGUUUGUAACGAAUUUUUUUAAAUGGGUCUUUCCCUAAGUUGGAUUGUAGUAAAAUACAAAAAGACUUAGGGGAGUGACUUUUUUAAAAGACUUUUUUUUUAAAUUAAAGCUUUUUGUAUUCAUUUGUCUAAAAUUUAUUUUUAUAAUAUAAAAACAACUUUUGACAAUGGAUCUCUUGGUUCUCGCAACGAUGAAGAACGCAGCAAAGUGCGAUAAGUAGUGUGAAUUGCAGAAUACGUGAAUCAUCGAAUCUUCGAACGCAUAUUGCACUUUUUUAGUUUACUAAAAAAGUAUGUCUGUUUGAGUAUCAGUAAAAUAUUCUCACAAAAACAAUUUGUUUUUUGUGGUUAUGAGUGUUUUACAACGAUAAACAAGUUGUUUCACUUUAAAUUCUUUUUAAUUGAAUUUUACCAAUUCAUAAAUUAAAAUUGGAUAAAAUUUUCCUUUAACGAGGAAUAACCUAAACAAUUUUAAAUUUUAUGGAUUAAUAAACAUUCAUCAAAGGAAUCUAUACAACAAUAACUUGAUCUCAAAUCAGAUAAGAGUACCCGCUGAACUUAAGCAUAUCAAUAAGCGGAGGAAAAGAAACUAACAAGGAUUCCCUUAGUAACGGCGAGUGAAGCGGGAAGAGCUCAAAUUUGAAAUCUUCAAGGUUUGACCUUGACGAAUUGUAGUUUAUAGAAGUGUUUUCUGUUGGAGUUUUGGUAAAAGUUCUUUGGAAUAGGACAUCAUAGAGGGUGAGAAUCCCGUAUUUGACCAUGACUUUCCAGCUGUGUGAUACACUUUCAAAGAGUCGGAUUGUUUGGGAAUGCAGUCCAAAAUGGGUGGUAAAUUCAUCUAAAGCUAAAUAUUGGCGAGAGACCGAUAGCGAACGAGUACCGUGAGGGAAAGAUGAAAAGAACUUUGAAAAGAGAGUUAAACAGUACGUGAAAUUGUCAAAAGGGAAGCGUUUGACACCAGUGUUGUUUCUCGAAAAUCAAUUUAAUGAGUUCUUGUUUUUAAGUUAUUGUGACUUUAUCAGCGCAUUUCUUAUUUUACUUGACUCAUUGAAUGCACUUUUCGUUUAACAAGUCAACAUCAAUUUCUUUGGUGGUAAAAAGUUUAAAGGAAGGUGGCUUGGACUUCGGUUCAAGUGUUUAUAGCCUUUUUUCUAUGCCAUCGGAGAGAUUGAGGUCUGCAGCGUAGAUCCUUCGGGGUUAGAUACCUUUGUGCUAAGUUAUAGUUUUUUAUAGACAACUUGUUGACUAUAAUUAACCCUGUAAUUUACUCGCUUAGGCUAUUUUACCUACGCUUAGGAUGUUG